CAGUUUCUAGUCACUCUCUGGGUGAAGGGAGGUGUGUUUGGGGCUAUGGAGGGAAGUACCCUACAGUUAUUUCCUGGGAGGAGGGCAUUUGGACUGGCAAAUCCAGAGAGAGGGGAGAGCCAGAAAGGUCCAGUUCUGCCACACUGACUCUUGUUCAGGAGUAUCUUUAUCAGCAAACAGUCCCACUAUGCUAGAUGGAGCUGCUGGGCACAGCCCUGAGUAAGGAUCUGACUAUUAUAUUUGGGAAGAUAUUGCCCGGUGCUUUCAAAGGGAAUUGCAAGAAAACAUUCAUUUUCAAGAAAACAAGUGAUGGAGUUGUAUGUGUAACACCAUUUGUUUGCUUGUCAUGGACACAGUGUUGUGGUCUGUGGAUAUACUAAAUAUACAAAUGGCUAAAGAUAACAUACUGGCACAAAGUUAUUCAUGGACAUGGAAGAGCGAGAAAAAGGAGCAUAUUUCAACCAACUCCUGAAUGCUGAAGUCAAGGUCUGGUCAUCACUCAUUUUGCCUGUUCCUACAGUCCUUAUCAAUUCAUUUUCCCAUUGUCAAUGGGCUCCCAGCUACCACACUGCAAUAUAAGAACCCAGAGAGUGCAUUAGGCAGAUUCAAUAGAUAAUUGCCUAUGGAAAAGAUAUCAUCUGAAGGACUGGGCACAUAAGUGGCUUUUAGUGAUGGAAGUUCUUCAUCCAUGCAUAGGUUUAGAAAAAUUUCUGUACCGUAAGAGUAAUUAGGGA